GCCUGGCUGGCUCAGUCGGAAGAGCAUGUGACUCUUGAUCUCAGGGUUGUGAGUUUGAGCCCCACGCUAGGUG
rnacentral:tRNA from 1 species